GCCUUCUUGGUGAAAUUGGUAAACACAACAGACUUAAAAUCUGUCCUCUAUUGAGGCUGAUGGUUCGAGUCCAUCAGAAGGUA
rnacentral:tRNA from 1 species